UUAAUUAAUUUUUAUUCUAGUAAUGUAAAAAAAAAAAACAAUUUCAAUUUCCCGUCAGAUUCGAACCUAGGCAGGUAAAGUUACCAGACAUUCACCUUAUCCUCUAGGCUAUCUCCACUUUUUGAAAAAGGUAAACUUUUAUCUAUAUGUUUAAGCGGUUUAGGAUUUGAUUUUGGGUUGCUGGAUUUGCUUUUGGAUUGUUGGAUUUGCUUUUGGAUUGUUGGAUUUGCUUUUUUAAUUCAACGCACGAUACUACCCAAGUAACAAUUUUACUUGCAUAAGGUCCAUUUUAUUCGAUUCGGCAAGCUAUAGUUUGUAUACGUUGAGUUUAAGGCUUACUUAUGCAAAUCAUCCAUUUUGGAAAAAAAAGGAGGUCUCCUUGAGGCUAUCUAGAAGAGUUAAGAAGAAGCCUUGUAAAUAUCAGUUAAAGAAGACCUUUAUAAGACCUGUUUGAAUCGUUCUUGUAUUUUCAAGUGACAGAAGGCCUCUAUAAGACCUGUUCCAAGAGGUGCUUAUAUGCAAUGUUUGUAACGCAUUAGAAAAAAACAUUGCAUUUUAUUGUGAGGUUUCAAUUAGCUCCCUUUCAUAUUCGAGCAUGGUCUACUGGUGAGGUGCUGGCUUGGUAUGCAGAGGUACGUGGGAUCGAUUCCUGUCCGGGGCAUAACAACAGAAAAAGCGAUGGAAUUUCCAAAAAAGGAAAAGAAACAAAAUAGGAACAAAUUAAAAUAAAUAAAAU